rnacentral:snRNA from 14 species
UGCGGGAAACUCGACGGCAUAAUUUGUGGUAGUGGGGGACUGCGUUCGCGCUCUCCCCUG